GACGAACGCUGGCGGCGUGCCUAAUACAUGCAAGUUGAGCGCUGAAGGUUGGUACUUGUACCGCCUGGAUGAGCAGCGAACGGGUGAGUAACGCGUGGGGAAUCUACCUUUGAGCGGGGGACAACUUUUGGAAACGAAUGCUAAUACCGCAUAAAAUCUUUAAACACAAGGUUUAAUAUUGAAAGAUGCAAUUGCAUCACUUAAAGAUUGUCUCGCGUUGUCUUAGCUAGUUGGGUAGGGAAAGGCUCGACAAGGCGAUGAUACAUAACCGACCUGGGAGGGGGGUCCGGCCACAUGGGAACGGAGACAGGGCCAAGACCCUUAGGGGGGCAGGAGGUAGGGAAUCUUGGGCAAGGGCGGAAGUCUGGACGAGCAAAGGCGGGGGGGGGAAGAAGGUUCUCGGAACGUAAAAAUCCGUUGGUAGGGAAGAAAGUAAGUGGGAGUGGACUGUGCAUCUAGUGACGGUACCUAAUCAGAAAGCGACGGCUAACUACGUG
rnacentral:rRNA from 1 species